GAUGAACGCUAGCUACAGGCUUAACACAUGCAAGUCGAGGGGCAGCAUGGUCUUAGCUUGCUAAGGCUGAUGGCGACCGGCGCACGGGUGAGUAACACGUAUCCAACCUGCCGUCUACUCUUGGACAGCCUUCUGAAAGGAAGAUUAAUACAAGAUGGCAUCAUGAGUCCGCAUGUUCACAUGAUUAAAGGUAUUCCGGUAGACGAUGGGGAUGCGUUCCAUUAGAUAGUAGGCGGGGUAACGGACCACCUAGUCUUCGAUGGAUAGGGGUUCUGAGAGGAAGGUCCCCCACAUUGGAACUGAGACACGGUCCAAACUCCUACGGGAGGCAGCAGUGAGGAAUAUUGGUCAAUGGGCGAGAGCCUGAACCAGCCAAGUAGCGUGAAGGAUGACUGCCCUAUGGGUUGUAAACUUCUUUUAUAAAGGAAUA
rnacentral:rRNA from 1 species